ACUAACUAGGGAUUCACUUGGGCUGCUACUCAAAUGGGAAUAACACGGAGAAGAUUAGCAUAGCCCCUGUGCAAGGAUGACAUGCAAAUUCGUGAAGCGUUCCAUAAUUUU